AGCCAAAAUAAUUAAAAAAUUAU
rnacentral:siRNA from 1 species